CUCCUCUAUCUCCCCUUUAGGUCUGGGUGGUCCCACAUUACCAGGGGGUCCCUGUGCCCCUAUCCCUCCUUAAAAAACACAAACAACAUACAUUUAAUUUUGUACAGAUCAUUCCCUAAACUGGGUGUAUUUUUGUUUCAACUGGAAAUUGUGCAAUGUCUUGAUGUAGAGAUUCAACUGUGAGGUCAGCAGACAACCUGGGCAGUGCCAUCUAGUGGACUCUGUGAGGAGAACAAGCUCAGACUCAUUGGGCUUGCACGGCGGGGGAGCUGACAUCAACCCAACCUCUUGCCCUGGGCUCGUUUUCAUCUGUUGCUUAUAAUCAGAACAGAGUUUCCAUCCAGAAACAACCUCUAGCCCCUAGGAUCUGUGUAGAUCUGAAAGGGUGGGAUAGGUAUGGCCAAAGUUCCACAUAACCGUUUUCCAUUACAGUGUAGGCUAUUCAUAGAGUAUUCUUUCCCUGUUUUGGACAGGGAAAGAAUUUCUGUGUUUUGAAUGGUACUGUUAUUCCACCCCACAGAAUACAGUAACAUACUGUAUCUUUGGAGCUCCAAAAAACUUUUGACCACUAGUGGGUACAUGUUAUUGUUGUUUCUGGCUCAUUAACAUAUUUUGAGGCGUGGCUUGUAAGAGGUUAUAUUUGUUGCACUGGUGAGUGAGACUGCUGUAACAAUUUAGAUCCCACAUGGUUAUUGUGCCCCAUUGCAGUAAUUAUUAACCACUGUAAGUUUAAGCUGUUGGAGGGGGGUUGAUGGGUAUUUUUUUAUUAUGUUACCUAUGUUGAUGUACUGGUGCAUCAAUUGACUCUAGGUGAUUAAACGGUUGAGCAUUUUACUAUGUCCUUUAGGUCUGUUUUGCCUUGUAGUCGCUGCCAGUUUGGAAUCCUUUGUUAAGGCCUCCAGAAGUGCAAGUGAUAUAAAACACCAAAUGUGAAUUAAUAUGUUGUAAUGCGUGAACACUUUACCCAGCAGCCAACCUGCUUGCACCAAUCCAUUGUCCUACCCUCAAUGAAUUUCAUUCAUCCAUUCGUUCAUAAAUUAAUUCCGAAGUACUUGCUUUGAUACCGUAUUGAUAUUACAGUAAGUGUACUGUAACAUGAAAUACUGAAUUUUACUUGCCACUGAGCUGCCUGUAAGUCAAAAUCAUGGCAACCCCUUUACAGUGUUUUAGAGAGCAUUUUGCCUUCACUCAUUUAUGUCAGAUCUAUGAAGUGUUUAGAGUGUAGGGGCUAGAGGUUGUUUCUGGGUGGGGCCAGAGUUACGGGUAAACCACUCUGCAAGUGUUGCAUCUGCACUUUUUAAAUAUCUAUCAGUCACAGCUAAAACAUUCAACAAUAGUUGCUGAUACAGCAAAGAUACUGAGCUCUGUGCAUGAUGAUUUAUAGUGUAUACCGAUUUAUAGCCUCUCCUACUUUAUGGUCAGGACUUGUUGAUACCUAGCUCUUUAAAGUCUGGGGUUAGUCCAAGAUGUACUCUUAAGGAGCCUUCCAUUACUCCUUAAGGUCCAAGGAUCUUAUAUGUUAUUUUCAGAGGUACACUGGCUCUGGCAGCCAAAACAGCCAAAUACUCCAUCUAAAAGUGAAUAGAUUCUCAAUUUCAAUACGAUUCUAGAAAAAUAAAGCCUGUUACUUUUAAGUCACAUCAAAAUAAUUCCACAACAAAAUAUACUUACUGUUUUAAAUUAAUCUGCUUUCACAGUUGCAGGCGACAGAAUGUUUCAGUGACAACACGUUUCUGGUGGCCGCCUUCUGUUACACACAGGUCUUCAGAGCAUGCUAGAUAGAGCAUGCUAAUUAGCACAGGUGGUCCCUCUGUCUUCCGUCUGUCUUCUGUAAACAAACGCUGUAACAUGGAGAUAUGGCCGUGUGGGAAACAUAACCCUAACCCUAUGAAGGUCUAUGGAAAGUGAUUUCUCG
ensembl:lncRNA